rnacentral:rRNA from 1 species
GAACCACUUUUUAACGGCCGCGGUAUCCUGACCGCGCAAAGGUAGCAUAAUCACUUGUCCCCCAAAUAGGGACUAGCAUGAACGGCCAAACGAGGGCCCAACUGUCUCCUAUAGCCCACCAAUAAACCUGAUCUCUCCGUACAAAAGCUGAGAUAAACACAUUAGACGAGAAGACCCUGUGGAGCUUUAAGCCCUGUGCCAACACACUAUUGGCAGAGCGCUUUCAGUUGGGGCGACUACGAAGCAAAACAAAACCUCCGUAACACUACCACAACCUAAGACCCACACGUCAAAAAGAAAAUUUUUUUACGACCCAGUCUAACUGAUCAUCGAACCAAGUUACCCCAGGGAUAACAGCGCCAUCCUCCCCAAGAGUCCAUAUCGCCAGGAGGGCUUACGACCUCGAUGUUGGAUCAGGACACCCAGGUGGUGUAGCCGCUACCAAAGG